ACGAACGCUGGCGGCGUGCUUAACACAUGCAAGUCGAACGAAGAGCGAUGGAAGCUUGCUUCUAUCAAUCUUAGUGGCGAACGGGUGAGUAACGCGUAAUCAACCUGCCCUUCAGAGGGGGACAACAGUUGGAAACGACUGCUAAUACCGCAUACGAUCUAAUCUCGGCAUCGAGGAUAGAUGAAAGGUGGCCUCUACAUGUAAGCUAUCACUGAAGGAGGGGAUUGCGUCUGAUUAGCUAGUUGGAGGGGUAACGGCCCACCAAGGCGAUGAUCAGUAGCCGGUCUGAGAGGAUGAACGGCCACAUUGGGACUGAGACACGGCCCAGACUCCUACGGGAGGCAGCAGUGGGGAAUCUUCCGCAAUGGACGAAAGUCUGACGGAGCAACGCCGCGUGAGUGAUGACGGCCUUCGGGUUGUAAAGCUCUGUUAAUCGGGACGAAAGGCCUUCUUGCGAAUAGUGAGAAGGAUUGACGGUACCGGAAUAGAAAGCCACGGCUAACUACGUGCCAGCAGCCGCGGUAAUACGUAGGUGGCAAGCGUUGUCCGGAAUUAUUGGGCGUAAAGCGCGCGCAGGCGGAUAGGUCAGUCUGUCUUAAAAGUUCGGGGCUUAACCCCGUGAUGGGAUGGAAACUGCCAAUCUAGAGUAUCGGAGAGGAAAGUGGAAUUCCUAGUGUAGCGGUGAAAUGCGUAGAUAUUAGGAAGAACACCAGUGGC
rnacentral:rRNA from 1 species